rnacentral:tRNA from 1 species
GAGAGAUGCUCGCAGCAACAAAGACUGCUAACCUUUGCCCCCUUGGUUAAACUCCAAGGAUCACUCGC